UAGAGUUUGAUCCUGGCUCAGAUUGAACCCUUGCGGCAUGCCUUACACAUGCAAGUCGAACGGCAGCAUGGGUGCUUGCACCUGAUGGCGAGUGGCGAACGGGUGAGUAAUGCGUCGGAACGUACCCGGAAGUGGGGGAUAACGUAGCGAAAGUUACGCUAAUACCGCAUAUUCUGUGAGCAGGAAAGCGGGGGAUCGCAAGACCUCGCGCUUCCGGAGCGGCCGAUGUCGGAUUGGCUAGUUGGCGGGGUAAAGGCCCACCAAGGCAACGAUCCGUAGCUGGUCUGAGAGGAUGAUCCGCCACACUGGGACUGAGACACGGCCCAGACUCCUACGGGAGGCAGCAGUGGGGAAUUUUGGACAAUGGGGGCAACCCUGAUCCAGCCAUGCCGCGUGAGUGAAGAAGGCCUUCGGGUUGUAAAGCUCUUUCGGCUGGGAAGAAAUCGCAUCUCCUAAUACGGGGUGUGGAUGACGGUACCAGCAUAAGAAGCACCGGCUAACUACGUGCCAGCAGCCGCGGUAAUACGUAGGGUGCGAGCGUUAAUCGGAAUUACUGGGCGUAAAGCGUGCGCAGGCGGUUUCGUAAGACAGAGGUGAAAUCCCCGGGCUCAACCUGGGAACUGCCUUUGUGACUGCGAGGCCAGAGUAUGGCAGAGGGGGGUGGAAUUCCACGUGUAGCAGUGAAAUGCGUAGAGAUGUGGAGGAACACCGAUGGCGAAGGCAGCCCCCUGGGCCAAUACUGACGCUCAUGCACGAAAGCGUGGGGAGCAAACAGGAUUAGAUACCCUGGUAGUCCACGCCCUAGACGAUGUCAACUAGGUGUUGGGAGGGUUAAACCUUUUAGUACCGUAGCUAACGCGUGAAGUUGACCGCCUGGGGAGUACGGCCGCAAGGUUAAAACUCAAAGGAAUUGACGGGGACCCGCACAAGCGGUGGAUGAUGUGGAUUAAUUCGAUGCAACGCGAAAAACCUUACCUACCCUUGACAUGCCAGGAACUUGCCAGAGAUGGCUUGGUGCCCGAAAGGGAACCUGGACACAGGUGCUGCAUGGCUGUCGUCAGCUCGUGUCGUGAGAUGUUGGGUUAAGUCCCGCAACGAGCGCAACCCUUGUCAUUAGUUGCCAUCAUUUAGUUGGGCACUCUAAUGAGACUGCCGGUGACAAACCGGAGGAAGGUGGGGAUGACGUCAAGUCCUCAUGGCCCUUAUGGGUAGGGCUUCACACGUCAUACAAUGGUCGGUACAGAGGGUUGCCAAGCCGCGAGGUGGAGCCAAUCCCAGAAAGCCGAUCGUAGUCCGGAUUGUAGUCUGCAACUCGACUACGUGAAGUCGGAAUCGCUAGUAAUCGCGGAUCAGCAUGUCGCGGUGAAUACGUUCCCGGGUCUUGUACACACCGCCCGUCACACCAUGGGAGCGGGUUCUACCAGAAGCAGUUAGCCUAACCGCAAGGGGGGCGAUUGCCACGGUAGGAUUCGUGACUGGGGUGAAGUCGUAACAAAGGACCA
rnacentral:rRNA from 1 species